CGGAAAGUGUAUAGAGUGGCGCACGGGUGAGUAACACGUAGGUUAUCUACCUCCGAGUGGGGAAUAACAUCGGGAAACCGAUGCUAAUACCGCAUAAUACCGAAAGGUCAAAGCUUUAGUGCUUGGAGAGGAGCCUGCGGCAGAUUAGCUAGUUGGUAAGGUAAUGGCUUACCAAGGCGACGAUCUGUAUCCGGUCUAAGAGGACGGUCGGACACACUGACACUGAAUAACGGGUCAG
rnacentral:rRNA from 1 species